ACUUUUUUCUUUAUUUUCCUUCUCCGUUUCAGAAAGAAGAGGAGAGAGGGGGAACGCGGGAUGAGGGAAGAGGUCAUAAGCUCGGGGACGGCGGACGCCGUCGCGCUUGCUAGGUCGUCUUCUCCUCCUCCCACUCCUGCUGCGAGUUCUGCUGGGGCAUCCUCACCAGCUGCUCCAACAAAUGCAACCAGUAUAGAUUGGCUUGGUAGUGGUCAGGGUUCCAAAGUGGGGUCUCUAUCUUGUAUUGAUCCACAGCCACCUCGGACUUCAUUGAGCACAAAUGCUGGUGGCUCUGUUUUGGGAUCCUCAGAACCUCAAUGUCGACCCUGGGAACGUGGGGAUCUGCUUCAGCGACUCAGCACAUUCAAGCCUUCAAAUUGGUUUGCAAAACCAAAAGGAGCAGGUUCACUAUCCUGUGCUCGCAGGGGGUGGAUUAAUAUCGAUACAGAUAUUAUUGAAUGCGAGUCAUGUGGUGCUCAACUCACUUUUACUAUAUCAGCAUCUUGGAGUCCCACUGAAGUUGAUCGUGCUGUGGAAGCAUUUACGGAUCAGCUUGAUGCUGGCCACAAAGUUAAUUGUUCUUGGAGAGGAAACUGCUGUGCUGACAGCUUGGUUCAGUUCCCUCCUACCCCUCCAUUAGCACUUAUUGGUGGCUACAAGGACCGCUGUGAUGGCCUUUUGCAAUUCCCUUCACUUCCAAUGAUAGCUUCAUCUGCAAUUGAGACUAUGAGACUCACAAGGAGUGUUCAGAUUGACCGCUUUCUAUCACAGCCAAGUGCUUUUUUUUCUGGGGAGCUAGGCUGUAAAGCAGACAGCACGCCUGGAAAAAGAAUAUCUCGAGAUCCUCCCUUUUGUGACUAUUCUCAUGCACAGAAAUUUAUAAGCCUUUGUGGAUGGGAGCCAAGAUGGCUACCAAAUAUUCAAGAUUGUGAAGAAAAUUCUGCUGAGUCUGCUAAAAAUGCGUGCUCAGUUGAUCAUACUAAAGAUGAAUAUGAUCAUUCAGACUUUCAUGUCCUUAGUAAGAAUCAAUUGUCCACCUCUAGAAAACAAGACAAAGGAAAGGGGAAAGCACCCAUUAAAGAACUGAAGUACAAUACAAGGUCACCUUUACUUGAUUGCAGCUUAUGUGGAGCCACUGUCAGAAUCUGGGAUUUCCGCACAGUGCCUCGUCCUGCUCGUUUUGGUCCCAACACAACUGAUACUCCUGAUGCUGGAAAAAAGUUGGCACUGACGCGUGGAGUAAGUGCGGCCAGUGGUAUCAAUGGUUGGGUUGCUGCCGAGACAAUGGCAAAGGAACAGAUUGACGAAGCAGCUGCAACAGCGGAUGAUGGUAAAUCACCAUCAAAUGCUGGUGUAGAUUUGAAUCUUACAAUGGCAGGAGGACUAACAUCCAAUCAUUCUGGCAUGCCAGCACUGUCUGAGCAUUUUGAAGAUGGUGGAAUGGGAAGGGAUCUGAUAAUUGGCCAGCCUGCUGGAAGUGAGGUUGGUGACCGGGCAGCUUCCUAUGAGUCACGGGGUCCAAGCACAAGGAAGCGUAGCGUGGAAGAUGGUGGGAGCACAGUUGACAGACCACAGCAUAGGAUUCUGCGUGCUGACAGCAUAGAAGGAACUGUCAUUGACCGUGAUGGUGAUGAAGUUGAUGACGGCACGCAGGAUUCAGAUGGCCCUAACAAACGUGCUCGUGGCUUUGAUAUCUUUGAUUCAUAUCAUCCACCAUCCAGGAUAGGUUCAUCUGGUGCUGGGCCGAGUCGUAAUCUAUGCUUUGAUAUCGACAUAGAUGCGAACAGAGUCGAGUCCUAUAAAGAAGAGAGUGAUAUGGCUAUUGGCUUCCCAUCACAUAGAGAUUCUGCUCGGGCAUCCUCUGUUAUUGCUAUGGACACAAUCUGUAGUGGUGAGGAAGAUUCAAUGGAAAGUGUUGAAAAUUACCCAGGAGAUGUCGCUGAUGUUCGAUAUCCUUCUCCUAUCAUGCAUAGGAAUCUUGACAUGAAUGAUACUUGGGGUUCAAACUAUAGCAAUCAAGUACAGCAAAACACAUAUAAUCAACCUGCUGCUGCAAGUGUUGCCAGGGAAGUUGGAGGCAGCAGUACAAUUGAGGGGGAAGAAAUUGUAAAUGCAGAAACUGUCACAGCUCAUGCAAGGGAUAGGUUCAGUUUAGGAAUUAGUGGAGGUAGCGUUGGUAUGGGUGCAAGUCAUGAGGCUGAAAUUCAUGGGGUUGAUGUAUCUGUGCAUAGAACGAAUAGCAUUGUAGGUGAUGCAGAACCAGUUGCUGAAGUCACUGAAAAUCUAGGGCAAACUGGUGAAUCAGCCCCAGGACCAGCACUAGUGGAUGAAUUUGUUCCAGAAGCCGUUAUGAGAGAGGAUCCUCAUGGUGAUAGUCAAGAGAUGAUGUCUCGAUCAGUUGGAAGAGCUGAUAGUGGUUCCAAGGUCUAUGGUUCAACCAAAGCUGACUCUGUGGAAAGUGGGGAGAAGGUUAGUCACACCCUGGGUCCUGAUAGCAGUGCACAUCCUUCACUUUCUUGCAAUGCUAUGAUUUACUCAGGUUAUGAGGUAUCCAAGGAAGAGGUAACACAGACUGGCAAUGCAUCAAUCACUGAUGAUUAUGCACUCAUGGUGUCAAGCCAUCUUCCUAGAAAUGGGAUAGUGAAUGGGGAAAAUGAAUAUGAGGUGGAAACUGGAGAGUUUGAUCCGAUUAAACACCAUAACCGUUAUUGCCCAUGGGUUAAUGGAAAUGUAGCUGCUGCUGGUUGUAACAGCGAUAGUGGUUCCAGCUCAAGCAAUUCAGAAGUUCAUUGUGGUUGGGAACUUACCCUGGAUGCCCUGGAUAGCUUUCAAUCCCUUGGUCAUGUUCCGAAUCAAAUGAUGCAGUCUGAAUCUGCAGCUUCUCUAUACAAGGAUGACCAUGUGACUCCUACACAGAAACUCUUGACGCAUCAUUCUGCAAGUAAGAGGCAGGGAAAACAUUGAUCCGUUUGUCGCAAUUUCCUUGGUACGCAUAUGUUAAUUUAAUUCAACUACUUGCGCUAUUGAUGUCAAUACUUAAAGGAAAAGGUUGCUGGUUCUUAGGAUCUGCGACAGGGAGUCAUCUUGUUCCUGGUCAUCCUCAGCAGGCAGGGUAUCAAUCAGUCGCUGCGAUCAGACAUGAUAAGGACUUUGUUCAUGAACGUUCUUAGAACCGAACCGAACCGAACCGAACUGAACUCUUUAAGGUGCUCUUUGGCAGAACCUAAGUUGCUUUUCGAAAACAUUUAGACUUGUGCUUCUAUCAUGUUUACAGACAUAUGCCUCCGAUUGUUUUAAGCGCCAGCGUUGAAUGACUUGCACUGUAUUCCUAAGUUAGAUAUAUUUUCAAGAACCUAAUGGAGCUACCUAGAUUAGAGACCUGCACUGAAGGCUUGCUCUGUAUUCUUAGAUUAUUAUCUUCAAUAACUUAUUGAGUUGUUCAA